rnacentral:rRNA from 1 species
GGUUAAGCGACUAAGCGUACACGGUGGAUGCCCUGGCAGUCAGAGGCGAUGAAGGACGUGCUAAUCUGCGAUAAGCGUCGGUGAGGUGAUAUGAACCGUUAUAACCGGCGAUUUCCGAAUGGGGAAACCCAGUGUGUUUCGACACACUAUCAUUAACUGAAUCCAUAGGUUAAUGAGGCGAACCGGGGGAACUGAAACAUCUAAGUACCCCGAGGAAAAGAAAUCAACCGAGAUUCCCCCAGUAGCGGCGAGCGAACGGGGAGGAGCCCAGAGCCUGAAUCAGUGUGUGUGUUAGUGGAAGCGUCUGGAAAGGCGUGCGAUACAGGGUGACAGCCCCGUACACAAAAAUGCACAUAUUGUGAGCUCGAUGAGUAGGGCGGGACACGUGGUAUCCUGUCUGAAUAUGGGGGGACCAUCCUCCAAGGCUAAAUACUCCUGACUGACCGAUAGUGAACCAGUACCGUGAGGGAAAGGCGAAAAGAACCCCGGCGAGGGGAGUGAAAAAGAACCUGAAACCGUGUACGUACAAGCAGUGGGAGCCUCUUAAUGGGGUGACUGCGUACCUUUUGUAUAAUGGGUCAGCGACUUAUAUUCUGUAGCAAGGUUAACCGAAUAGGGGAGCCGAAGGGAAACCGAGUCUUAACUGGGCGUUAAGUUGCAGGGUAUAGACCCGAAACCCGGUGAUCUAGCCAUGGGCAGGUUGAAGGUUGGGUAACACUAACUGGAGGACCGAACCGACUAAUGUUGAAAAAUUAGCGGAUGACUUGUGGCUGGGGGUGAAAGGCCAAUCAAACCGGGAGAUAGCUGGUUCUCCCCGAAAGCUAUUUAGGUAGCGCCUCGUGAAUUCAUCUCCGGGGGUAGAGCACUGUUUCGGCAAGGGGGUCAUCCCGACUUACCAACCCGAUGCAAACUGCGAAUACCGGAGAAUGUUAUCACGGGAGACACACGGCGGGUGCUAACGUCCGUCGUGAAGAGGGAAACAACCCAGACCGCCAGCUAAGGUCCCAAAGUCAUGGUUAAGUGGGAAACGAUGUGGGAAGGCCCAGACAGCCAGGAUGUUGGCUUAGAAGCAGCCAUCAUUUAAAGAAAGCGUAAUAGCUCACUGGUCGAGUCGGCCUGCGCGGAAGAUGUAACGGGGCUAAACCAUGCACCGAAGCUGCGGCAGCGACACUAUGUGUUGUUGGGUAGGGGAGCGUUCUGUAAGCCUGUGAAGGUGGCCUGUGAGGGUUGCUGGAGGUAUCAGAAGUGCGAAUGCUGACAUAAGUAACGAUAAAGCGGGUGAAAAGCCCGCUCG